UCUGUGCCUUGACAACUUUAAACUCUGCCGAGGGCGGCUUCUGAUUGGCCAUGAGUUCUUCUGUGUCAGUCAACCAGCCGAGCAGAGACUCCAAAGCCUCAUGGAACCUUCCACAGUGCAACAGGGCUUCAUGCAGCUGGGCCGAGCGCUCGGCAAUCUGUGAAUUACAAGGUCAUCCUCAAGCUUCUUCGUGUUGGUUCCUCUGGCGGCGUUCUGGAUCAGCCCAUGACUGAGGGAAUUGAUGUCUUGGAGUUGUGUCUGCAAAGGAUCAAUUUCUUCUUUCUGGAAAGCCUACAGUCAAAAACAAACAACACAAUCAAAUGUGUGGAAAAGAAGUCUAACAUCAAUUUAACAACUGCCUGAAAGGUUUGCUGACACUCUCCAACUGCCUGGCUAAGUCCGCCUUGAGCUGAACCGAGAUAUUAUGGACGUCCUCCAGACGCUUCUUCACGGCAUCGGGCUGGGUGCUGCAGGCCUGAUGGUUGCCAAGCUGACCAUCAAGCUGAGUAACGGUCUGGCUGAGAGUGCUAAGCAGGUCUUGGAACUCUCCCGUCUUCGCUACAGCCUGGUCGAUGAGGUCAUCGCGCCGGUCUAGCAGUCCCAUAAGACCUUGCCACUUCUCAGUGACGGCAGUGAGCUGCUCCCUCACCUGCUUACUGUUCGAGGGGUCAUGGUUACCCGACGAGUUUAAGAUGGCAGAAGCAGCUUCGUUGAGUUGAUCGUACUGAGGCUUUCGGCUUUUGAACUCAUUUUGGAGGAUCUGCACGAAGGGUAGAGCAAAUAUGAGCAUUGCAUCCCAGAACAAGAGCACAGAGUGCAGGCGUGUGACAAGGCUUUAGGUAAAAAUUCAGUCUUAUACACCAAAAUGUUUUGUCUGAUUAAAAGAAAAUGUAAAAUGUAUAUGAAAUUGAAUACAUAAUGAACCUUUGAGCAAGGCCUUUGUAAGUACUUGACGUACAACACAUGCAUCACUAUAAGGUAUGCAUUAAAACAAUGAUGAAUACAUGUAACUAAAGCAUACUAUAUUGGUAGUUCUAAUUUAAAAAAAUCAGAAAUACAGUAUUGUAUAUAUUUAUUUUGAGGGGGAGUUCAUUAACGGACUGAAUGUAUGGAAUUGUUUAUUUGCUCAGAUAUGCUUUAUAUUAAAUAACAUAACAUGGUUACAUUUUACAGCAUACAUUAAAAAUAUGUUUAGUUUAAAAAAAAAAAAAGUAUUAAAUCCACUUUAAAAAUAAUCAAAAAAGGAUUAAUAUUACAGGAGUAAAAGUGUUUUAUUCAUUUACUGAAAAA